ensembl:lncRNA LINC00667 long intergenic non-protein coding RNA 667
GAGCGGGGAGCAAGGCCUGCGGGGAGGCGCAGGAUGGACGCGUUGGCUGUCAUGAUGUAGGACCUCCUGACCUAGAACCAUGCCCGGCGCAGGGAGAACAACGAGCUUACGGACCGGGUGCGGGGGCUGCUGUGCGAGAAAGCCUACCUGCUGGCCCGGGAGCGUUCGCCGGCCCACCUGGUGGCUUUCCCUGGACGUUUAACGGCGACUCCGCCCGGCCUCCCGACUUUUUGAUGCAGGCGUUCUCUUACAUGACUUUCUUCGAGGCUAGAUUCUCGAAAGACAUCCUGAAGGUGGCUUUCUUAAUUAGCUGCCUCACCGGCUGGCGGAGCAGUUCGUAGUCGCCUACAUCGAGAGGGAGAGCCCCGUCCUGGCUCAGUACUGGGGCUUCGUGGACGCGCUGUAGCGGGUCUUCGCCGUCGUGGGUAGGAAACAGUCGGGCCGGAUCCCCGGUGUCUGGGGAGCGGCUGCCGGCCGGGCCCGCGCGAGCCGCUUCACUCCUACAAGCCCGGCUCACUAGUUCCAAGCUGCUGGACUUUGACCCUCGCUGGGAAGCUUGAUCGCCGCCUGUUCUCGCCAAUCUCUAUGCCUUUGCACUGCCCAGCAACCCGGUCACUGCCCAGGACCUGUUAAAAGUUGAAUGGACCUCCCAGAAUCACGCCGCUGCCACCGCCGUUUCUAGAGACGGCUUUUGGCCACCUUUGAGAAUCAGGGUCAAACUUGGAAGGGCCUGCAUUUGUCACACUUCCUCGGACACUAAUUUGGAUAGUUCAGGCCCAGAGACGGCUUCCCGGGUUAGUGUGCCUGACAACACUGAAGAAAAAUUGUGACAUUUUCCUUCCCCAGAAUUACUUCGUUUUAUACAUUUCACUUCUCUUCUGAAAUCACAGCAAUGCCAGUUUGCGCCUUUUGGUCUGAGGAACGCAGGCCCUGGCCACUACCAGGAAAAAAUCCUUUGCACAUGGCCUGCUAUCAACAAUCCUCUACAAUGAUUCUCAGCAUCACCUAGGGAGCUUAUGUAAAAUCUCAAAUUCCUGGGCCCUAUCCCCAGAGUUUCUUAUCAAGUAAGUCUGCAUUGGGAUCUGAGGAUUUGCAUCUCUAACAAAAAUUCCUAGGCGAUGCUCACACUGUUGGUGUAAGGCUUCAAGCAAAGUCAGGUGCUAUGUAGAGUGGACACUCAAAUAUCCCUAGGAAGAAGUCUAUGUGGUGAGAAACUGAGACCUUCAACAGGCUGCAUAUACUUGCCACGUGAGGACAUCAUUUUGGAAGAAGAUCCUCAAGCCCCAGUCAAGCCUUCAGAUGAUAGUGGUCCCAGGCCAACAUCCUGACCAAAACCUUAUGAAAGACCCUUACGCCAGACGCAGCUAGCUAAGCUGUUCCUGAAUUACUGAUAUAAAAACUGUGAAAUC